AACGAACGCUGGCGGCAUGCCUAACACAUGCAAGUCGAACGAGACCUUCGGGUCUAGUGGCGCACGGGUGCGUAACGCGUGGGAACCUGCCCUUAGGUUCGGAAUAACUCCCCGAAAGGGGUGCUAAUACCGGAUAAUGUCUUCGGACCAAAGAUUUAUCGCCUUUGGAUGGGCCCGCGUUGGAUUAGCUAGUUGGUAGGGUAAAAGCCUACCAAGGCGACGAUCCAUAGCUGGUCUGAGAGGAAGAUCAGCCACACUGGGACUGAGACACGGCCCAGACUACUACGGGAGGGGGGAGUGGGGAAUAUUGGACAAUGGGCGGAAGCAUGAAGCAGCUAGGCCGGGUGAGUGAUGAAGGCCGUAGGGUAGUAAAGCUCUUUUACCCGGGAUGAUAAUGACAGUACCGGGAGAAUAAGCUCCGGCUAACUCCGUG
rnacentral:rRNA from 1 species